rnacentral:rRNA from 1 species
GGACUCGGGGGGAAGUAUGCUCGCAAGAGUGAAACUUAAAGAAAUUGACGGAAGAGCACCACCAGRUGUGGAGCCUGCGGCUUAAUUUGACUCAACACGGGAAAACUUACCAGGUCCAGACAUAGUAAGGAUUGRCAGAUUGARGUUCUUUCUUGAUUCUAUGCAUGGURGUGCAUGGCCGUUCUUAGUUGGUGGRGUGAUUUGUCUGGUUAAYUCCGAUAAYGAACGAGACCUCRGCCAUCUAAAUAGCGGUCGCUAACCCGUUAGCUAUAUCCCACGGAUAGAUCCGCUUCUUAGAGGGACAAYCUGUGCAUAGCAGAUGGAAGUUUGAGGCAAUAACAGGUCAGUGAUGCCCUUAGAUGCUCUGGGCUGCACGCGCGCUACAAUGGUGCAUUCAGCGAGUUCAUCCUUGCCUGAGAAGGCUGGGUAAUCUUAAAAGUGCAUCCAAGUUGGGAUAGAUGAUUGCAAUUUUUCAUCUUGAACAAGGAAUAUCUAGUAAACGCAAGUCAUCAACUUGCAUUGAUUACGUCCCUGCCCUUUGUACACACCGCCCGUCGCUUCUACCGAUUGAAUAAUCCGGUGAACUGAGUGGAUGGAGACGAAUUCUCGGAUUUGCCUCCAGAAGCUUCGUAAACCUUAUUAUUUAGAGGAAGGACAAGUCGUAACAAGG